CCAGCCAAUUGAUUGUAAACAAGCAAUCACCGCAAUGUUUCGAUGAUCACGCCACACCACCUUCCCACUUUCAGCCGGCCGACGAGAGUGUAUAUAAAGGCGUACGUGCUCUUGAUUUAAGCAUAAUACAUCUUUUUGUGCAGAUAUCAUAAUUUUUGUUUUCACUUUACUCCUCAAAAACCAACCAAAAAUUCAAAAUGGGCGCAGAAAAAGGUAUCCAUGAACAUCGUUGUCGUUGGACAAGUCCAAUCUGCCAAAGCCGUGAAAUCGGUCGCCAAGGCCCACAACAGCCACUAGCCAGCUGAUGAACUGUUGAUUUGUGUAAGUAGUUCAUUCAUCGCAAACUCAAAAAUGCCAUAGCCCAAGCAAUACAAUAUGAAAUUCUGAUUGAUAUUGAUUAAAUUAAAUAAAACAGUUUCUUCGAUA